rnacentral:lncRNA from 1 species
UCCAGGUCAGCCUUGUGAGGUUCCGUAGUCCCAGACAGGAAGCACAGACCCGAUUCAACCUCUGGUUCCCGAGAGCACAGUCGAUCCCCUAUCUACUACCAGCAACGUUUCUUCGAAAGUGAACCUAUACGCUUCCGUGGCACGGGGUACUUCAGUUUCUCAACCAACCCAAGUGAUGCAUACGGGCGGUUUCCAUUUCUUCUCCACUACCACAAGCACUUCGUUUACGCUUCUCUUCUCGAGCCUUCUGCCUUAUCCUCCAGUGACCGAGGAGGUGUCCUCAGGGAGGGCCCGGACUCACCAGGGUCGCUCGGCAGGACGUGGGAAAUGGGGACGGUCCCCAGCAGCCUGGUGAGGGUGGCCGGGCUCCGCGUGGCAGACCCGGAGAACCCGGAGGCGCCGGCAGCCCGCGCUGCUCCCAGGAACUUGUCCUCUCCCGCAGGCGCCUCGAGCGCCGAAUCCGCAGGAUCCGGUCUGCGCAACGCGCCGGUCCCGCCCCCAGGACACACCGCCCAGAGCCGCGCGGGAGCUCGGCGCUUCCCCAGCAGCGCCCGGGGCAGGAAGCUCGCGCGGGGGGCGCUGGGAAACCAGCUGGCGCAUGCGCGGGGAUAAGCAUUUGGCGCUUGUACUAUCCAGAAUGUCGGAGAUGGGCAGCCAAUGAACAGGGAGGAUUCUCACGACUAAGCCGAUCUGACACCCUGGAGCUAGAGAUUUGGAAGAAGUCUCAUUUUCGCUUUCUGGGUCGCACUAUACCUAAGUCGGAUGCUUGGGAGGUCUCGGGGCUUCCUGGAAAGUGCAGUCUAAUUCGAGCGGAGCCUCCAUCAUGGUCAGUACCUCCUGCCCUCCUAUCAGCAGCUACAUCUGUACUGAGCUGAGGAACAGGAGUCCUGAUGCCUAGGGACACUGAACAGGAGGCCCACCUCUGCCCGGGCAUGUGUUAAGCAUUACUGUAGUUUGUUAAAGUCACUAUUGGUGUUAAUGGUAAAUUACCUUUAUAUUGUAAACAUACUUUCCUAUAAAAUAGACAAAACCAGAACGGGGCAAUUUGACUCUGUGUGGCAACUGUCGGACUCUCCCUUGUUUCCCUUGCUGCCUUGAGCAAAAGAACUGUUAGUCAAACAGCCAGCCGGACUGACCUCAUGCCAGCACCAGCUAUCUGAAACACUCAAUGGACACCUUUCGAGAACUACACAUUGAUCAAAGCUGAUUGUCCCUGCAGCUUCAGGCAGGGCUGUUUUGAGACAGGCUUCAGUUCUUGCUGCCACAAGCCUCUGGAUUCUAGAUACCCUGAAACCAUGUCCACGUAGACUACAGAGGGUACAUUUCCUUCUGUAAUUGAUUGCUAAAAGGCAAGGUUGUAGUUGUCUAAACCCUGCUUCGCAGGAUGCCUCCUGAAUGCACAUCAGGCUGCGAGAUUCUUGUACUGUACUGUCUUUCCUGAUGUUGCUGUAUCAGACCAGGUGAUACAGUGGAGUAGUGAAGGCUGUAUUUCACGUCAUGCACCCCAGAUCUACUUAUCUCUCUGGCCUCAUAUCCUUCCUUGCCUUUGCAACCUCCCCACCCCUGAAAUAAAACACACAAUCAACAAAGAAAGAAAACAUCUCACUGCCGUGGAAGCUGUAGUAUA